rnacentral:tRNA from 1 species
AGAGCAGCUGAUUCGUAAUCAGCAGGUCGGCAGUUCGAGUCUGCCCAGUAGCUCCA